rnacentral:rRNA from 1 species
AGCGAAACGCUGGCGGCAUGCUUUAACACAUGCAAGUCGCACGGGCAGGGGUAACUCCGUCAGUGGCGGACGGGUGAGGAACGCGUAGGUAUCUAUCGUUGGGUGGGGGACGACCGCGGGAAAACUGCGGCUAAUACCGCAUGACGACCUUUGUUGGAAGAUGAGGGUCCAAAGCUCGCAAGAGCGCCUGAUGAGGAGCCUGCGUCCGAUUAGCUAGUUGGUGGGGUAACGGCCUACCAAAGGCUACGAUCGGUAGCUGGUCUGAGAGGAUGAUCAGCCACACUGGGACUGAGACACGGCCCAGACUCCUACGGGAGGCAGCAGUGGGGAAUAUUGGACAAUGGGCGCAAGCCUGAUCCAGCAAAUGCCGCGUGUGUGAAGAAAGGUCCUCGGAUUGUAAAAGCACUUUCGGCGGGGACGAUGAUGACGGUACCCGCAGAAGAAGCCCCGGCUAACUUCGUGCCAAGCCGCCGCAGUAAG